rnacentral:rRNA from 1 species
AUUGAACGCUGGCGGCAUGCUUUACACAUGCAAGUCGAACGGUAACAGCACUUCGGUGGCUGACGAGUGGCGAACGGGUGAGUAAUACAUCGGAACGUGCCUAGUAGUGGGGGAUAACUACUCGAAAGAGUAGCUAAUACCGCAUGAGAUCUAAGGAUGAAAGCAGGGGACCUUCGGGCCUUGCGCUACUAGAGCGGCUGAUGGCAGAUUAGGUAGUUGGUGGGAUAAAAGCUUACCAAGCCGACGAUCUGUAGCUGGUCUGAGAGGACGACCAGCCACACUGGGACUGAGACACGGCCCAGACUCCUACGGGAGGCAGCAGUGGGGAAUUUUGGACAAUGGGCGCAAGCCUGAUCCAGCAAUGCCGCGUGCAGGAUGAAGGCCUUCGGGUUGUAAAAUGCUUUUGUACGGAACGAAAAGCCCUCUUCUAAUACAGGAGGGUCAUGACGGUACCGUAAGAAUAAGCACCGGCUAACUACGUG